UGUAGCCCACUGUCCGAUGCGUUCAGAUUGUGCACACAUGUGCUGGGCAAUCAGCCGAUAAUUGGAUUACUGCGCAUAAAGCGCAUGGUUUUUGUAUUGGUUCCCGGAUAACUAUUAUGUAAAAUAAAUGUUUUGCGUUGCGUUCGGGACACAGAGAAUAUCAGUAAUGGCCGAACAGUUGUCAUUCAGGAUUCGAAAGAGGCUGGCUCACAUGACGAGGAAGCUAACUUGGAUGAAGAUGAAAUUAAUAAGAGAUUUGUAUUGUAUUCUAAAGAUUGAAUAAAUGAAUGCUUCUUUGGA